rnacentral:tRNA from 1 species
UGCGCCCGUAGCUCAGGUGGACAGAGCAACGGAUUUCUAAUCCGUAGGUCGCAGGUUCGAGUCCUGCCGGGCGUGA